UCCACCCUGUACAUUGAUUUAUAACUAUUUAUUAUAAGUAGUUUUUAAGAAGUGAUUUAUCGUUAGUAAGUUUUUUUCCCUGAAAAAUAAAACAUUAGGAAAGAAAGUGAUAUGAAUAGACCAUAAUUGUUCAGAAUAUUUGGAGAUUAUAACGGUGUUUUGUUAUGCAUGCCACAGUAAUUAGUUCUUAGGAAAUUGAGGUAAAGAAAGUUUGGAAUUUUAAAUAUGUUUGUUUAAUGAUAGGAAUAUUUAGAUAAUUAUAAUUUCCGAAAAGUCGUAAGUUUGGGUAGGAAUAUUUUUGAGAGAAUGCCUGUUUGUUUUCAAAUAAAAAAAAAGAAGGUGGGGAGAUAAAUGUUUCUGAUUGGCUAGGCACUUUGGAAUGGGGAAAGUUUUGUUUUGAAUGUUGAGAUAGUUUUGGAAAGAGGAAAUCAUUAUGUGAUUGGCAUCGCUGAAGAGCAGUCAAGGUUUUCGUGGAUAGUUAGAUAGCAAGUACCAGUGGGUGUUUUGAUAGUGGAGAAUAGAGCUGAAAAGUGGAACGAGAGACAGAUCAAAUUGAGACGAAAUACCUCUUUGAUUCUGUAUUAUUGUGAGAAGAAGAGGAGAGAAUUUUUGGAGUUUGUGUUUUGUUGGAGAAUUGGUGCUGGUAUGCUGAUAGAUUUGAAGCUUGAGAACGGAGAGGGCUUUGAUGGGUAGCCUAACAUAGUCAACGAGGGAGAGCUGUUUUGGGUCAAGAGAAGACAUCAGAGUGAGUGAAGCAAAAGAUCACUACUCGACAUUUGCCAUCAAAGUUUUUAGAAGUGGCAGAUGUAAACCAAGGCUCUGAAUCUGAAAUAUCGUUAAGGGUUGCAGUUACGAGACAUUCAAUUGGAUCAGGAGAAGGUUAUGUCAGAUGCAGCUACAACAAAAACUGUUCCACAAACAGAUGAAAGUGAAAGAAGGCUCUGCAAUAAUUUCUAAGUGAACUCCAUGUAAAAAGCACGUAGCACUCCAUGUAAAAAUAAAUAAUGAUCUUAAAAUUGAGGUAUUGGAUGCUUCAGAAGUCAAACGGUGUAAGUCACAUUCUCCCUAAAAUGACUUAUGAAUACAUAUUAUGAUAUAUAAUAAUAUUGUAAUUUCCUUGUGUGUAUUUAUGAAUAUAAUACUUAUAUUAUGAUAAAUAAAAAGAGUUUAUUUAUUUUUAGUGACUCCUUAUUUUUCAGCAACUACUUUCACAAACAUCUUCUUAUCUCAUUUUAAACACUUAUUGACUUACACCGAUUGGCUUCUGAGGCAUCGAUUACUGCUUUUAUAUAAUAACACUUAUUAUUUGUUAUAAUAUGAUUAUUUGUAUUACCAAUUAUGCGUUAGUUUUAACAAUGAAUCAUUAUCGUAUUAAUAAAAAUGAUUAUUUACCAA